UGAAGACGUCCGUAUCUGAAUUAUAAUAGCCAGCUGAAGGCAAUCCAUCGCUGAGCUGUAUAUCUCGUACCUUUUGGCAAUCGCCACUGAAAACUUGUAUUUGUAGUCCUGCCGAGAUCUGCACCCGCAUCAAGCCAAAAUACCAGGCCAUAUGCCGCAACACAACGAUCUUGGGCCAGAAGACAAAAGGCAAUAGAACCCACACACGCACACAGGGAGAACUCGUCGGUGGUUUCGACCGCAGGACACAACCGAAAUUUAUAAUCACCGAUGACCAUGUCAAGCACGCCCACCGCCAACGCCCCUCCCCCAAAAAAAGAAACCCGGAAAAAAACAGAGAGUAUAAUAGGGUUAAGUCAUGUUCGAUCAUCUCGGCCGCAGGACCUUUUCUUUUUGGAC